rnacentral:rRNA from 1 species
UACGUAGGGUGCAAGCGUUGUCCGGAAUUAUUGGGCGUAAAGAGCUCGUAGGCGGUUCGUCGCGUCGGCUGUGAAAACCCGCAGCUCAACUGUGGGCUUGCAGCUGAUACGGGCAGGCUUGAGUUCGGUAGGGGAGACUGGAAUUCCUGGUGUAGCGGUGAAAUGCGCAGAUAUCAGGAGGAACACCGGUGGCGAAGGCGGGUCUCUGGGCCACUACUGACGCUGAGAAGCGAAAGCAUGGGGAGCGAACAGG